rnacentral:rRNA from 1 species
AUGGCUGGAGUAAAGAAGUUUUUUCUUUGGAUCAAUUUUCUUGUCAGUGGGAUCAGUGUGGGAGCUUAUGUGGCGCCCAUGUUCAGCUUAAUUGCUCUCAUGGAAUGGGAUUCAAUUUAUGAAUGCUUUGUCCCUGAAUCUCUCAUGCUUGAGGGACUCAACUUUAUUUUCAUGAUUGCGUACUACUGCUUUGUUACUGGGACAGGAGCUUCGUUUGAUGGCAUAUUAACAGCAGGAUUUGGUUUAUCUUUCAACUUUUGCUGGCUGUUUCUGUAUGUGGUUCAUUGUGCGAAUACUCUUCAGCAUCCACGACUUGUGAUGGCAUCUGUUCCAACAGCAUUCUUGGUGAUCGUCACAGUAAUGUUUGGUACAAUCCAGUGGGGAUACAAGGCUGAACAUUCGGGGGCGAGAGGGGCUCUUAUUGCCGCUGUGCUUACAACCAUACUCUUCUCACCAUCGAUGAGCGUGCUCAACCGGCUCUAUUCCUCAAUCCCUGAUGAUCCGUGGGCACCAUUUCUCAUCAAGAUGAUCUUAUCUGGACUAAGUGUAGUCACUUCUGGGUACAGUGCAUGGAAUGGGACACAACAAGGCUACGCCGAGCAUGAAGACCUCAAGUAUCUUCUUGUGUUCAACUAUGUGUCAGUGGGCAUUGGUAUUUGCCAGAUAGUUGUUCGUCUUGUUGGUCCAAGGAUGGUUGCGGACCAUGUGAAGCGCAUCUGUAGGAAGCUGUGGCAGAUUGUUAAGCGCAUCUGUAAGAGGCUGUGGCAGAUUGUUAAGCGCAUCUGUGGAAGGACCUGA